ACACGUAGGAGGCGAACGUUAUCCGGAUUUACUGGGCGUAAAGCGCGUGUAGGUGGUUCUGUAAGUAGGGCGUGAAAGCUCCCGGCUCAACUGGGAGAGGCCGUUCUAAACUACAGAACUAGAGGAUGGUAGAGGGAGGUGGAAUUCCAGGUGUAGCGGUGGAAUGCGCAGAUAUCUGGAGGAACACCAGUGGCGAAGGCGGCCUCCUGGACCAUUCCUGACACUCAGACGAC
rnacentral:rRNA from 1 species